rnacentral:rRNA from 1 species
CACGUAGGGGGCAAGCGUUGUCCGGAUUUAUUGGGCGUAAAGAGCUCGUAGGUGGCUGAGUAAGUCGGAUGUCAAAUACCCAGGCUCAACCUGGGACACCACCCGAUACUGCUCUGGCUAGAGUCCGGUAGGGGAGCAUGGAAUUCCUGGUGUAGCGGUGAAAUGCGCAGAUAUCAGGAGGAACACCAGCGGCGAAGGCGGUGCUCUGGGCCGGAACUGAAACUGAGGAGCGAAAGCGUGGGGAGCAAACGGG